rnacentral:rRNA from 1 species
GAUGAACGCUGGCGGCGUGCUUAAUACAUGCAAGUCGAGCGAACAGACGAGGAGCUUGCGCCUUUGACGUUAGCGGCGGACGGGUGAGUAACACGUGGGUAACCCACUUAUAAGACUGGGAUAACUUGGGGAAACCGGCGCUAAUACCGGAUAAUAUUUCGAACCGUAGGGUUGGUUGGAGAAAGAUGGCUUUGCUAUAAGUUAUCGAUGGACCUGGGCCGUUUGAGGUGGUUGGUAGGGUAAAGGCUUACAAAGGGAACGAGACGUAGCCGACGUGAGAGGGUGAUAGGCGACACUGGAACUGAGACACGGUCCAGACUCCUACGAGAGGGAGCAGUAGCGAAUCUGCCGCAAUAGGCGAGAGCCUGGCGGAGCGACGCCGCGUGAGUGGUGAAGGUCUUCGGAUCGUAAAACUCUGUUAUUAGGUGAGAACAACCGUGUAAGUAACUGUGCACGUCUUGACGGUACCUAAUCAGAAAGCCACGGCUAACUACGUG